GAUGAAGAACGUAGCGAAAUGCGAUAAGUAAUGUGAAUUGCAGAAUUCAGUGAAUCAUCGAGUCUUUGAACGCACAUUGCGCCCCCUGGUAUUCCGGGGGGCAUGCCUGUCCGAGCGUCAUUGCUGCCCUCAAGCACGGCUUGUGUGUUGGGCCCCGUCCUCCGAUCCCGGGGGACGGGCCCGAAAGGCAGCGGCGGCACCGCGUCCGGUCCUCGAGCGUAUGGGGCUUUGUCACCCGCUCUGUAGGCCCGGCCGGCGCUUGCCGAUCAACCCAAAUUUUUAUCCAGGUUGACCUCGGAUCAGGUAGGGAUACCCGCUGAACUUAAGCAUAUCAAUAAGCGAGGA
rnacentral:misc_RNA from 1 species